UAGGGAAUCUUCCACAAUGGGCGAAAGCCUGAUGGAGCAACGCCGCGUGUGUGAUGAAGGCUUUCGGGUCGUUAAAGCACUGUUGUAUGGGAAGAACAGCUAGAAUAGGAAAUGAUUUUAGUUUGACGGUACCAUACCAGAAAGGGACGGCUAAAUACGUGCCAG
rnacentral:rRNA from 1 species